rnacentral:tRNA from 1 species
GCCCGCAUAGCUCAGAUGGAGAGCAGCCGCAUUGUAGGCGGACGCGCGCAGACUCAAGCCCUGCUGCGGGCACCA